UCACUCUCAGUCCUCCUCAGCCUACAUCCAGAGAUGGGCACCCCUAGGUACUGCAAAAUCCCGCGAUGCUUAGUGACACCCAAUCUCUCUAUGAUUGAGUGGUGGAGCUGCAUCGACAUCCUUGGACUAAAAUGCACAGCUGACUUGAGAAGAUUCACCUUCUAUCCUGAGGUAUUACAAUAGUCCUCCAAGAUCAUUCUAAAUCCUACGACACUUCAAACUAUGGCCUGGCCCACUAACAAGUAGUCAUCUGCAAAAAGAAGGUGUGAGAUCAGCUAAGCCCCAAAGAUUGGCACAUAAGGGCCUAUCACCUACCCCUUUGAUGUAGUACGAAGGGCUCUUGAGAAGACAUCAGCAUAGAUAAUAAAAAGAUAAGAAGAGAGAGGACAAUCUUGCCGCA
rnacentral:lncRNA from 1 species